CCUACGGGAGGCAGCAGUGAGGAAUAUUGGUCAAUGGCCGGAAGGCUGAACCAGCCAAGCCGCGUGAGGGAGGAAGGCGCAGAGCGUCGCAGACCUCUUUUGCCGGGGGACAAAAGGCCGGACGGGUCCGGUUCUGAGGGUACCCGGAGAAAAAGCAUCGGCUAACUCCGUGCCAGCAGCCGCGGUAAUACGUAGGGGGCAAGCGUUAUCCGGAUUUACUGGGUGUAAAGGGAGCGUAGACGGUUAUGCAAGUCUGAAGUGAAAGCCCAAGGCUCAACCAUGGGACUGCUUUGGAAACUGUAAAACUGGAGUGCAGGAGAGGUAAGCGGAAUUCCUAGUGUAGCGGUGAAAUGCGUAGAUAUUAGGAGGAACACCAGUGGCGAAGGCGGCUUACUGGACUGUAACUGACGUUGAGGCUCGAAGGCGUGGGGAGCAAACAGGAUUAGAUACCCUUGUAGUC
rnacentral:rRNA from 1 species